GAUGAACGCUGGCGGCGUGCCUAAUACAUGCAAGUCGAGCGAACAGACGAGGAGCUUGCUCCUCUGACGUUAGCGGCGGACGGGUGAGUAACACGUGGAUAACCUACCUAUAAGACUGGGAUAACUUCGGGAAACCGGAGCUAAUACCGGAUAAUAUAUUGAACCGCAUGGUUCAAUAGUGAAAGACGGUUUUGCUGUCACUUAUAGAUGGAUCCGCGCCGCAUUAGCUAGUUGGUAAGGUAACGGCUUACCAAGGCAACGAUGCGUAGCCGACCUGAGAGGGUGAUCGGCCAAAACGGAACUGAGACACGGUCCAGACUCCUACGGGAGGGCGCAGGAGGGAAUCUUCCGCAAUGGGCGAAAGCCUGACGGAGCAACGCCGCGUGAGUGAUGAAGGUCUUCGGAUCGUAAAACUCUGUUAUUAGGGAAGAACAAAUGUGUAAGUAACUAUGCACGUCUUGACGGUACCUAAUCAGAAAGCCACGGCUAACUACGUG
rnacentral:rRNA from 1 species